GGUACCCUGUACACAAGAGUGGAGCCGAGUCUGGGUCAGGUGCACCUGAUGCUCCUGGAGGCUGGCAGCAGAACCAUAGACUCAAAGUCCUCAGUCUUUAGAGUCCAGUUUUAUAGGGAUUUUUCCCUAUGUUAGUUUAUGGGAGUUGUUUCAUUCUGCUGUUGCUUGAUCAAUCAGCAGGUGGCUGGCUCCAUUCUGUAGGUGCUUGGGGUGGAUUCCAGUUCGCCCUCCGGGGGUCAUCUGGUUGAUUCCACUUGACACCUUCUUCGACCGACACUGAAUUUUUCAGGCUGGUAACUCCCUAACCAUUCAUUCAUCAUUUAAACUAGGCACUCAUUCACAUACACUCUUUAUCUUUUGGG